AUUCCAGUUAUUUCUUCUUACAGACUGGACCCUGUCUCAGUCUGGACUCACCCCUGCCUUUCCCUUCAGGAAUUGCCAGUUGCUCCAAACAGAGGGGAGAAUGUCUAAUCUUCUUGGAACCAGGCUGAGCAGACACAACUCGUUGCACUUGUGAGGCUUGGGUUUGAAAUCAUGACUCCAGAGGCCAAAGGGGAGUGAUUAGCCCAGCCCUGCCUGCCAGCCAGACCAAUGCAGGCUCAUUUCCCCCUUUUCUCCAUUAAACGUGGAACCCAGUGA